UCAGAUCCUGCCGGUGUGGGCUUUGCAGGAAGCUGUGGUUCACCCACAGCCUUGCGGGAGGACACCACGCACUCUCUCCCAGACCCCCGGGGCUCUGAGCAGCCUUGUGGGAGGGCCUGAGGGCUGACUGUACCCCCUCUGCCCUCAGAGCCUCUGAGCAGCGUCUCCUCCCUGGAGGUCCACUUCGACCUCCUGGACCUCACUGAGCUCACCGACAUGUCGGACCAGGAGCUGGCCGAGGUCUUUGCUGACUCGGACGACGAGAACCUCAACACCGAGUCCCCAGCAGGUCUGCACCCGCUGCCCCGGGCCGGCUGCCUGCGCUCCCCUUCCUGGACGAGGACAAGGGCUGAGCAGAGCCGCGAGAAGCAGCCCCCAGGCGACCCCGAGCGGCAGGCCGCAGUCCUGGACACGUUUCUCACUGUGGAGAGGCCCCAGGAGGACUAGACCAUCUCCAUCUGCCCCAGCUCCUGCAGGGAUGGGGUCCGAACACGAUGGCAGAUCUGGGCAGUCCUGACCCAGCAGACACACUUCACCCGCCCACGAGGCUCCAGCCGUCACCU
rnacentral:sRNA from 1 species